rnacentral:pre_miRNA from 1 species
AGUAGAAUUGCUGGAUCAUAUGGUGAGAGUAUGUUUAGUUUUGUGAGAAACUGCCAAAUUGUCUCCCAAAGUGGCUGUACCAUUUGCAUUCUCACUAGCAGU